rnacentral:ribozyme from 1 species
UGCACCUACCUUCCGGAACCGCUUCCGAUUUUGCCGGAGUCAUUCGGAAGCGAUUCCGAAUUUUUGCUAAAUUUAUCCAUCACUAGUACCGAACGAUAAACAUGUCUCUCAAUUAUCCUAGCUUGGGUAUGCCGGAAAACCCAACCCCUUGAGCGGAUGAGUUGCAUGGCUUAUUUCAGCGGG